UACGUAGGGUCCGAGCGUUGUCCGGAAUUAUUGGGCGUAAAGGGCUCGUAGGCGGUUCGUCACGUCGGGAGUGAAAACUCGGAGCUUAACUCCGAGCCUGCUUCCGAUACGGGCAGACUAGAGGUAGGCAGGGGAGAGCGGAACUCCUGGUGUAGCGGUGAAAUGCGCAGAUAUCAGGAGGAACACCGGUGGCGAAGGCGGGUCUCUGGGACGUGACUGACGCUGAGACGCGAAAGCGUGGGGAGCAAACAGG
rnacentral:rRNA from 1 species